rnacentral:lncRNA from 1 species
AGGGAGGAGGAGGAAGCGCGCCUCGGCCGGCCGCCGCAGUUGGAGUCGGAGCAGGGGGGAGCAGUUUCAAAAAAUUAUUAAAAAUCGAGGGAAAAUCCUAGAAACGCUCUGUGGGCCUGAAAACCCCAGAGAGGUCCCAGGCUCCCUGGAAAAGAGGUUUCGGGUGUCCGUAAGGCGGCCCACAAGGGCAGUAGCUAGGAAGGCUGUGCCUGCUGGGGGUUGGGUGAGACGAAACCAGGGAACCCCCCUCCAGGAGGCAUGCGGGACUCUGACCUCUCAUUUGGGGGUGCCCCCUAGCCUGCUCUACACACCUCCUCCCCCGCUUCCUACCCCACCCAAAUCUGCGCGCUCAAGAAGCAGCCAAACUGCCUCUCCGGGGUCAGAUGUGGCAGGUGAAUCUUGGCUGAAGGAGAGAGGAAGCAUGAAGGUCCACAUCCAUGGAGUUGAUGACAGGAAGACCCCUGAGGCACACACAAUUAUAUCAAGCAGUGACACUGGAGUCAGCUGUGGGAAUACACUGAAUGGUCUUCACACCCCUGUGGAUGGCGAGGGAGCCAAUGGAGAUUGUAGAAGGGAGAACUGUGCUGUUGCAUCCUCAGGCAAAUGAUUUCUUCUGUAAAUGUCUUCUUGACAUGUUUAUGAAGAGACAUCCUCAGAGCCAAACUGCCUUCAUUUUCAUCAGAUCUGUUUGCAAGAGAUAGUCAUAGCUGACCAUGUUAACUGUGACCUACUUUUAUAUAAGGGGCACAGUGCAUCAUGGGACCUUCACAUGAGUAUCCAGGCAGCCCUCCAAGCCAUCUGUAUGAAAAUCUAAUUGUACAAAGCCUCAAGGAGUCUGUGAUGGCUAAUCUUGGUUGUCAACUUGAAGACAUCUAGAAUCAACUGAAUCCCAAGCAGCUAGGUGUUGAGAAAUUUUCAUGAUCGAAUCAUCUGAGGUCAGAAGACUCACUCUAAAGCUGGGCUACACCUUUUGAUGGCAUCCCGCAUAAAAGCACAUGGAAUAAGGAAAGCUUUGAUUUUUGCCUGCUUGUCCUCACUCUUACUGGCAAGUUCAUCUAGUCUGCUGCUGUGGCAUUCUUUCACUGGUGUUAGAACCUACUUCUUCAUGACUGAAGACUAGCUAAGGUAUCCAGCCAUGUGGACUGAAUAACUACUAAAUUUAUGGCCUUUUUUUUUUUUUGGAGCAAGAGAUAUUCAUUGUUGGACUAGACAGACAACAGCCUGUUAGCCACUCUAAUAAAUUACCUUUAGUAUAAUAUUCUUUCUAUCAGUUCUGUUUCUUUAGAGAUCCCUGAUUAAUACAGAGAGGCUGGAGUAUAUAGAUGAGAAAAGGACUAGGGCAGGAAGCUCCAUCUAUGUAGCCUCAGGGAAGUUAUCAGCCAUACUGGGUACAGAUCAUUCAGUGUGGCUUAAGGCUACCCAUAUGACUACCUGUAACACCUCACCCAUUGCUAUGUAAUAAGCCUAAUAAAGUCGUUGGUUUCCA